GAUGAACGCUAGCUACAGGCUUAACACAUGCAAGUCGAGGGGCAGCAUGAACUUAGCUUGCUAAGUUUGAUGGCGACCGGCGCACGGGUGAGUAACACGUAUCCAACCUUCCGUUUACUCAGGGAUAGCCUUUCGAAAGAAAGAUUAAUACCUGAUAGUAUGGUGAGAUUGCAUGAUAGCACCAUUAAAGAUUUAUUGGUAAACCGAUGGGGAUGCGUUCCAUUAGGUAGUAGGCGGGGUAACGGCCCACCUAGCCGACGAUGGAUAGGGGUUCUGAGAGGAAGGUCCCCCACAUUGGAACUGAGACACGGUCCAAACUCCUACGGGAGGCAGCAGUGAGGAAUAUUGGUCAAUGGACGAGAGUCUGAACCAGCCAAGUAGCGUGAAGGAUGAAGGUCCUACGGAUUGUAAACUUCUUUUAUAAGGGAAUAAACCCUCCCACGUGUGGGAGCUUGUAUGUACCUUAUGAAUAAGCAUCGGCUAACUCCGUG
rnacentral:rRNA from 1 species